rnacentral:misc_RNA from 1 species
UGUGUGUGUGUGUGUGUUUGUGUAUGUAAUUUAGGCAAUUUAGCUGUGGUACCUUGCGUCAAAAAAGCCCUCACCUUGCCUCGCCUCUUACCUAAGGCCAUGGAGUACCCUAUCGCCUUAGUGUCGCGUUAAUAACACUAGAACCAAAAGAAAAAAAAAAUGACAGAGAGGGAAGGGGAAAAGAGAGUUAAAUUGCCUAAAAACCUUCACGCAUUACAGCCAUAGAAAAUCUGUCUCUUGCCUUAUCUCUUCUGAAAUCAAUCAAUUAUUCACCCCAAAUCCUAGUGUUGGAAGACCUCUUAUGGAUGUAAACUAGAGAAAAACCAUGAGUAAAUCUUUCUCUUUCUCUACAUGCCAAUCUAUUCAAUUAGGUUUCUUACUUUUCAAUUUGGGGGUCGCUUGGAUGUUAGAAGUGAAGAAUUUUCUCACAGACUAACAGAUUUUUAGAUAACAUGAUUGGGCUUAAUUGAUGAGAUCCAAUAAGUCUAAGCGCUUGAUUGACUAAAAUUAAAGCAAGAGGGUUCAACUGACUGUUAAAGGGCUUAAUUAGGCAUUUG